rnacentral:rRNA from 1 species
AGUUUGAUCCUGGCUCAGGAUGAACGCUAGCUACAGGCUUAACACAUGCAAGUCGAGGGGCAGCAUGGUCUUAGCUUGCUAAGGCCGAUGGCGACCGGCGCACGGGUGAGUAACACGUAUCCAACCUGCCGUCUACUCUUGGACAGCCUUCUGAAAGGAAGAUUAAUACAAGAUGGCAUCAUGAGUCCGCAUGUUCACAUGAUUAAAGGUUUUCCGGUGAGGGCGAUGGGGAUCUCUUUCCAUAUAGAUUUGGGGGCGGGGGGAACCCGCCCCCCUUUUUUCUUCGGAGGGAUAGGGGUUCAAGAGAGGAAGGCUCCCCCAACUUUUGGAACUUAGAACACGGGUACCAAAUUCUCUGGGGGGGAGCCACCAGUGGAGAAUUUUUGUCCAAGGGGGGAAGACCCUUAACCCAGCCAAAGUAGCGGAAAGGAUGACUCCCCUUAGGGGUUGAAAACUUUUUUUAAAAAGGAAUAAAAGUCGGGUAUGCAUACCCGUUUGGCAUGUACUUUAUGAAUAAGGAUCGGCUAACUCCGUGCCAGCAGCCGCGGUAAUACGGAGGAUCCGAGCGUUAUCCGGAUUUAUUGGGUUUAAAGGGAGCGUAGAUGGAUGUUUAAGUCAGUUGUGAAAGUUUGCGGCUCAACCGUAAAAUUGCAGUUGAUACUGGAUAUCUUGAGUGCAGUUGAGGCAGGCGGAAUUCGUGGUGUAGCGGUGAAAUGCUUAGAUAUCACGAAGAACUCCGAUUGCGAAGGCAGCCUGCUAAGCUGCAACUGACAUUGAGGCUCGAAAGUGUGGGUAUCAAACAGGAUUAGAUACCCUGGUAGUCCACACGGUAAACGAUGAAUACUCGCUGUUUGCGAUAUACUGCAAGCGGCCAAGCGAAAGCGUUAAGUAUUCCACCUGGGGAGUACGCCGGCAACGGUGAAACUCAAAGGAAUUGACGGGGGCCCGCACAAGCGGAGGAACAUGUGGUUUAAUUCGAUGAUACGCGAGGAACCUUACCCGGGCUUAAAUUGCAGAUGAAUUACGGUGAAAGCCGUAAGCCGCAAGGCAUCUGUGAAGGUGCUGCAUGGUUGUCGUCAGCUCGUGCCGUGAGGUGUCGGCUUAAGUGCCAUAACGAGCGCAACCCUUGUUGUCAGUUACUAACAGGUUCCGCUGAGGACUCUGACAAGACUGCCAUCGUAAGAUGUGAGGAAGGUGGGGAUGACGUCAAAUCAGCACGGCCCUUACGUCCGGGGCUACACACGUGUUACAAUGGGGGGUACAGAGGGCCGCUACCACGCGAGUGGAUGCCAAUCCCAAAAACCUCUCUCAGUUCGGACUGGAGUCUGCAACCCGACUCCACGAAGCUGGAUUCGCUAGUAAUCGCGCAUCAGCCACGGCGCGGUGAAUACGUUCCCGGGCCUUGCACACACCGCCCGUC